AGAGUUUGAUCCUGGCUCAGAACGAACGCUGGCGGCAGGCUUAACACAUGCAAGUCGAGCGCCCCGCAAGGGGAGCGGCAGACGGGUGAGUAACGCGUGGGAACAUACCCUCCGGUUCGGAAUAGCUCAGGGAAACUUGGAUUAAUACCGGAUACGGCCUAGCGGCGAAAGAUUCAUCGCCGGAGGAUUGGCCCGCGUCUGAUUAGCUAGUUGGUGGGGUAAUGGCCCACCAAGGCGACGAUCAGUAGCUGGUCUGAGAGGAUGAUCAGCCACAUUGGGACUGAGACACGGCCCAAACUCCUACGGGAGGCAGCAGUGGGGAAUAUUGGACAAUGGGCGCAAGCCUGAUCCAGCCAUGCCGCGUGAGUGAUGACGGCCUUAGGGUUGUAAAGCUCUUUCGCUCGGGACGAUAAUGACGGUACCGAGAUAAGAAGCCC
rnacentral:rRNA from 1 species